rnacentral:rRNA from 1 species
ACUAGAGUAGCACUCGCAUAUCAAUAAGCGGAGGAAAAGGCUGCGGAACUGAACGACCGCUACCUACGCUUAGGAUGUUGACACACGCGCGUGCUCGAUGAUAGUCUAUACAUGACUCUGUGCAUAUCAAUAAGCGGAGGAAAAGAAACUAACAAGGAUUCCCCUAGUAACGGCGAGUGAAGCGGGAAGAGCUCAAAUUUGAAAUCUUAAAGGGUUUCCCUUUACGAAUUGUAGUUUAAAGAAGUGUUUUCUGUUGAGGUUUUGGUAAAAGUUCUUUGGAAUAGGACAUCAUAGAGGGUGAGAAUCCCGUAUUUGACCUUUACUUUCAACUUUGUGAUACACUUUCAAAGAGUCGGAUUGUUUGGGAAUGCAGUCCAAAAUGGGUGGUAAAUUUCAUCUAAAGCUAAAUAUUGGCGAGAGACCGAUAGCGAACAAGUACCGUGAGGGAAAGAUGAAAAGAACUUUGAAAAGAGAGUUAAACAGUACGUGAAAUUGUCAAAAGGGAAGCGUUUGACACCAGUGUUGUUUUUCUGAAAAUCAAUUAAAGUACUGUUUAUGCUAAGUUGUUUAGACUUUAUCAGCUAUCUGCUUAGUUUUGAGCUUUUCUUUAAUGCACUUUUCAGUUAACAAGUCAACAUCAAUUUCUUUUGCUGUAAAAAAGCUUGAGGAAGGUGGCUCGAGAUUCGUCUUAAGUGUUUAUAGCCUCUUGCCUAUGCAGUCGGAGAGAUUGAGGUCUGCAGCGUAGAUCCUUCGGGGCUAAAUGCAUUUGUGCUAAGUUAUAGCAUUUUAUAGACAACUUGUUGACUAUGAUUUGUCUUGUAGCUUACUCGCUUAUGUUAUUUUACCUACGCUUAGGAUGUUGAACUCUAUCACACACAG